rnacentral:misc_RNA from 1 species
GGGAAAUGCUAUCCGUCUUACUAAAAGCUUUACCAUUUAGUCAAUUAUAUUUCGACUUAUUACAUGUAAUAUAUCGCCUUGUUUUCAUAUUGGAAACUAACAUCAUUUUUAGAUCUGAAUUCAAAAGGAUUUGCCAGUUUAUCCUAGUGCUUCAUUCAAAUUUCAUUGAGUGGCAUUUGGAAUGCAAUUGCAACACUCCUCAAGCCAUUCAUACUGUUUAUUGUUAGUACUUGCAAUAACAUUAUUGAUUGUUUCUGCUUCUGAAUAUGGGGACA